rnacentral:sRNA from 1 species
UCGCUUUUGAUCAGAACCUGUCUCCUAUAUGCAUAUCUAUCAGAAUUAAAUAGGUGGUCAAAAACUGUCGACAAACUAAUGUAUGGGCCUGGUCGUAAAGUGCAGUCUAAAUUUCCAUUGUAGGGACCGUACAACUCUCGUCCUUGCCAGUACGUGUGCGUGAUCCAGGCAAUGUCAAGUACGCCCACCGCUUACUAUUGCUAAUAUUCACCCUUAACAUCCGCUAGCCCAGUCCGUAACAAUGCAAGAUAACUGCCACCAUUAACAGUCUACGAUUUCAGUCUGUAAGCAGAAUUAAAUUGAGUGCAUUCAACAACAACACAACAGAAAACGAAACGAAACGAAACCAAAAGUAAAUGCGAAAUACUACAAAAAUCUGUUACAAGUUCGAAUAAACCCGCAGCAAAGAUACUCCGAAAAUGAGGCGCACUCUUUGGCACAUGCUCACGGCCCAGCUCCUGCUCCUGGUACUCUGUUCGCUGCUCUCUCUCUGCUCCGGCGGCAAUAUGCAUCCUUUGAAAGUGGGCAAAAACUAUGCGUCGCUGCACAACCAGCCCAAGGACUUUCGCUCUUUAGUGAUGGAUAUUAGCAAGUUUGUUCUCACUAUUAAAGCAAAAGCUUUUUCCUCCAUCUAAUCUGUCCAAAGAUCUGACUAGUACCAUAUCUAUUACUAAGCUGGCGUCGAGAUUUGAAUUCCAAUCUGAGUCCUGCCCCCCAUUCAAUUCAGAGUUCCAAAAUUCUCCAUUAAAGACCGACAGAAAGGCCAGCGACCAGCAGAUCAGUGCAGAGACCGACAAUCAUUGCCAAAGCAACGCAAAGCCUGGCCUCGAACUGAAUUUACAAUAAAAAUUCUUAAUUCUUGGUACAAAAAUUUCUGUAUUUAGCUGAUGAAAAUAAUUU